rnacentral:lncRNA from 1 species
CGUCAGUGAGAAUGUACUAAGUUCCGAUGUAGUGAAGUGUUUACAAAGUAUUGGGUAGAUUUGAGGCACUAGCAGAACAGAUCGCUACGACUUCCAAAAGGUGUGAGAACUUCUUUAUAGUACAGCUUCGCUGUAUUGUACUUACGAGUUGCUCGAAAUGACAUGCAUUUGCAAAGGUUAUUUUUUGCACACGUCUCAAGUUGCUCGUGCUGCAGGGUGGUCUUUGAUAUACCUUCUGUUGCAAUGUUACCGUAAAGAGCCUGCAUUGCCCGGCUGCAAGACUGUGGUGCACCUUGUGCACAUUAAUAUACAGUUGA